GACGAACGCUGGCGGCGUGCUUAACACAUGCAAGUCGAACGAUGAAGCCCAGCUUGCUGGGUGGAAGAGUGGCGAACGGGUGAGUAACACGUGAGUAACCUGCCCAUCACUCUGGGAUAAGCGCUGGAAACGGCGUCUAAUACUGGAUAUGAACAGCGGCCGCAUGGUCAGUUGUUGGAAAGAUUUAUUGGUGAUGGAUGGACUCGCGGCCUAUCAGCUAGUUGGUGAGGUAAUGGCUCACCAAGGCGACGACGGGUAGCCGGCCUGAGAGGGCGACCGGCCACACUGGGACUGAGAUACGGCCCAGACUCCUACGGGAGGCAGCAGUGGGGAAUAUUGCACAAUGGGCGCAAGCCUGAUGCAGCGACGCCGCGUGAGGGAUGACGGCCUUCGGGUUGUAAACCUCUUUCAAUAGGGACGAAGCGCAAGUGACGGUACCUAUAGAAGAAGCACCGGCCAACUACGUG
rnacentral:rRNA from 1 species